rnacentral:rRNA from 1 species
UAUAGUGCGUAAGAGCUCGUAAGCGGUCUGUNCGCGUCUGCUGUGAAUCCCGAGGCUCAACCUCGGGCUNUGCAGUGGGUACGGGCAGACUAAAGUGCGGUAGGGGAAAUUGGAAUUCCUGGUGUAGCGGUGGAAUGCGCAGAUAUCANGGAGGNAACACCGAUGGNCGAAGGCAGAUCUCUGGGCCGUUACUGACGCUGAAGAGCGAAAGCGUGGGGAGCAAACAGGCUUAAAUACCCUGGUAGUCCACGCCGUAAACGUUGGGAACUAGAUGUGGGGAACAUUCCACGGUCUCCGUGUCGUAGCUAACGCAUUAAGUUCCCCGCCUGGGGAGUACGGCCGCAAGGCUAAAACUCAAG